AUUGAACGCUGGCGGCAGGCUUAACACAUGCAAGUCGAACGAGUGGCGGACGGGUGAGUAAUGUCUGGGAAACUGCCCGAUGGAGGGGGAUAACUACUGGAAACGGUAGCUAAUACCGCAUACCAUCGGAUCUGCCCAUAUGGGAUUAGCUAGUGGGUGGGGUAACGGCUCACCUAGGCGACGAUCCCUAGCUGGUCUGAGAGGAUGACCAGCCACACGGGAACUGAGACACGGCCCAGACUCCUACGGGAGGCAGCAGUGGGGAAUAUGGCACAAUGGGCGCAAACCUGAUGCAGCCAUGCCGAGUGUAUGAGGAAGGCCUUCGGGUUGUAAAGUACUUUCAGCGGUGAUGCGGUACCCGCAGAAGAAGCACCGGCUAACUCCGUGCCAGCAGCCGCGGUAAUAC
rnacentral:rRNA from 1 species